rnacentral:lncRNA from 10 species
CUUAACUCAGAAAAAAAAAUUGAGAGUUCUAGCCAAAUAAUUCAUGUAAAUUGAACAUGCUAAAUGAUAUUGGAAUAAAGACAAUAUAAAUUACUUUCCUUUUCAUCUAUCACCAAAUAUGUUUCUUUCAUCUGAGUGCAAAUAUUGUAAUGAAUAAAGUUCUGCACAAAAGAAAUGCAAUUUUUGGUUCUAGAAAUAAAAGAAGGAAAGAAGGAAGGGAGGGAGGAAAGGAAGGAAGGAAGGAAAUAAUUUUUGGGAUAUAUUUUUUCAAAUGUAUCUGUGCUAAGUUGUGCCUAGAAGGGAGCAAUAGGAUACAAAAGAAUUUAAAGCUGAGAGGAGGCCAAUUUGAUAUAGCAAUAGCUUCUACCGUGUUUUUGACAUAUCCCUACUCAGUCUGGAGCUCAUCACCCUGCAAUCGGGAUAAUAAAGCUCAUUGUUAUUGUUAGAAAAGUCUGCUUUAUUCAAAUAGGAAUCUUCUGUAACUUUUUCUCCAGAGCUGUGAGAAAAACUUUUAUUACUUAAAGUCCCUAAGACUGCGGAACUUUAUUAUGGCAGCCCUGGGAAACUAGUAGAUGUCCCAGGCUAAGAGAUGAACUUUCCUCCAAGUAUUUCCUACAGUGCAGUUUCCAGGGAAUGUGCUCCACGGAGUCAUCUCUACUUUGCCAUUGGUCCUCUUAAAUGAACGCCCAAGAUUUGAACGGUGAACUCCAGGGACGGUUGACUUCUUCUAUCCCAUCCAUGGUAGAGAGUCAAAUACAAAAUAAAAUUAGGCUUAAUGGUGCUUGAGAACAUGCUGCAUACUGUCAGGCCUCUGAGCCCAAGCCAAGCCAUCGUAUCCCCUGUGACUUGCACGUAUACGCCCAGAUGGCCUGAAGUAACUGAAGAAUCACAAAAGAAGUGAAAAAGCCCUGCCCCGCCUUAACUGAUGACAUUCCACCAUUGUGAUUUGUUCCUGCCCCACCUUAACUGAGUGAUUAACCCUGUGAAUUUCCUUCUCCUGGCUCCGAAGCUCCCGCACUGAGCACCUUGUGACCCCCGCCCCUGCCCACCCCAUCUCCCUUCGCUGACUCUCUUUUUGGACUCAGCCCACCUGUACCCAGGUGAAAUAAACAGCUUUAUUGCUCGCACAAAGCCUGUUUGGUGGUCUCUUCACACGGACGUGCAUGAAAUUUGGUGCCGUGACUCGAAUCGGGGGACCUCCCUUGGGAGAUCAAUCCCCCGUCCUCCUGCUCUUUGCUCCCUGAGAAAGAUCCACCUACGACCUCAGGUCCUCAGACCGACCAGCCCGAGAAACAUCUCACCAAUUUCAAAUCCGGUAAGCAGCCUCUUUUUACUCUCUUCUCCAACCUCCCUCACUAUCCCUCAACCUCCUUCUCCUUUCAAUCUUGGCGCCACACUUCAAUCUCUCCCUUCUCUUAAUUUCAAUUCCCUUCAUUUUCCGGUAGAGACAAAGGAGACACAUUUUAUCCGUGGACCCAAAACUCUGGUGCCGGUCACGGACUCAGGAAGGCAGCCUUCCCUUGGUGUUUAAUUAUUGCAGGGACACCUCUCUGAUUAUUUACCCACGUUUCAAAGGUGUCAGACCACGCAGGGAUGCCUGCCUUGGUCUUUCGCCCUUAGUGGCAAGUCCCGCUUUUCUGGGGAAGGGGCAAGUACCCCAACCCCUUCUCUCCUUGUCUCUACCCCUUCUCUGCUUUUCUGGGGAAGGGGCAAGUACCCUAACCCCUUCUCUCCUUGUCUCUACCCCUUCUCUGCUUUACUGGGGCAGGGGCCAGUACCCCUCAACCCCUUCUCCUUCACCCUUAGUGGCAAGUCCCACUUUCCUAGGGGGCAAGAACCCCCCAAUCACUUAUUUCUGCACCCCAACCUCUUAUCUCUGUGCCCCAAUCCCUUAUUUCCACACCCCGACCUCUUAUCUCUGUGCCCCAAUUCCUUAUUUCCAUGCCCCAACCCUUUCUCUGCUUUUCUGGAGGGCAAGAACCCCUCACCCCUUCUCUGUGUCUCUACUCUUUUCUCUGGGCUUGCCUCCUUCACUAUGGGCAAGCUUCCACCUUCCAUUCCUCCUUCUUCUCCCUUAGCCUGUAUUCUUAAGAACUUAAAACCUCUUCAACUGUCACCUGACCUAAAAUCAAAGCGUCUUAUUUUCUUCUGCAAUGCCGCUUGACCCCAAUACAAACUCGACAGUAGUUCCAAAUAGCCAGAAAAUGGCACUUUCAAUUUUUCCAUCCUACAAGAUCUAAAUAAUUCUUGUCAUAAAAUGGGCAAAUGGUCUGAGGUGCCUGACGUCCAGGCAUUCUUUUACACAUCAGUCCCUUCCUAGUCUCUGUGCCCAGUGCAACUCGUCCCAAAUCUUCCUUCUUUCCCUCCCUCCUGUCCCCUCAGUCCCAACCCCAAGCGUCGCAGAGUCUUUCUAAUCUUCCUUUUCUACAGACCCAUCUGACCUCUCCCCUCCUCGCCAGGCCAAGCUAGGUCCCAAUUCUUCCUCAGCCUCUGCUCCUCCACCCUGUAAUCUUUUUAUCACCUCCCCUCCACACCUGGUCCGGCUUACAGUUUUGUUCCGUGACUAGCCCUCCCCCACCUGCCCAGCAAUUUACUCUUAAAAAGGUGCCUGGAGCUAAAGGCAUAGUCAAGGUUAAUGCUCCUUUCUCUUUAUCCCAAAUCAGAUAGCGUUUAGGCUCUUUUUCAUCAAAUAUAAAAAUCCAGCCCAGUUCAUGAUUUGUUUGGCAGCAACCCUGAGACGCUUUACAGCCCUAGACCCUAAGAGGUCUAAAGGCCGUCUUAUUCUCAAAAUGCAUUUUAUUACCCAAUCUGCUCCCGACAUUAAAUAAAACUCCAAAAAUUGGAAUCUGGCCAUUAAACCCCACAACAGGACUUAAUUAACCUCACCUUCAAUGUGUACAAUAACAGAAAAAAGUUGCAAUUCCUUGCCUCCACUGUGAGAUAAACCCCAGCCACAUCUCCAGCACACAAGAACUUCCAAACGCCUGAACCGCAGCAGCCAGGCGUUCCUCCAGAACCUCCUCCCCCAGGAGCUUGCUACAUGUGCCGGAAAUCUGGCCACUGGGCCAAGGAAUGCCCACAGCCCGAGAUUCCUCCUAAGCCACGUCCCAUCUGUGUAGGACCCCACUGAAAAGCGGACUGUUCAACUCAUCUGGCAGCCACUCCCAGAGCCCCUGGAACUCUGGCCCAAGGCUCUCUGACUGACUCCUUCCCAGAUCUUCUCGGCUUAGCGGCUGAAGACUGACGCUGCCUGAUCGCCUCGGAAGCCCCCUAGACCAUCACGGACGCCGAGCUUCAGGUGACUCUCACAGUGGAAGGUCCAGGAACUCACUUUUUAUGGUUUCUCUGGGGUCCCCUUUGGCUAAGAGAAGGUCUGUUCAGCAGACAGACCUAGGCACUGCCCUCUUCCCCAAGCCAGCAGGAAAUAAGCACACAGCAUUUCUACUUUCCAUAUCUAAUCGUGAUGUUUAGGCUGACAGCAAAAGUGCCAGGUACUGUCAGUUGUGAUCACAGUCACCAAACUGGAGAACAUGGACUGAGACCCCGACAUUGACCAAACCUGAGACUGAGACAGCAGCUGCUUCACAUCUCUACCACACAGAUGCAGAUGCAGUUGCAAAGCAGUAGUACUCGGGAGUGAAAGGCAGUCAUGCUCCUCUGGUUCAUCUCGCAUCCUGUGUUGUCCACAUUGCACCCCUGUCCCUUUCCAUUUAUCACGCCAGUCUUGACAAAGAGGCAUGCUGUUUUUUUCCCUGCUUUAACCUGUUUCAGAAAUGCUGACCUUGCGAAGGUGGCUCCGAAAUACCAGAGCUGGUUUACCACAGUUUAAAUGAAAUCACUUCAUCUGAUGGCUGUGUGGGAAAUGCUGGAGUCCUGUCUCACCUCCGUGGGUCUACCUACUUACCCAGUAUUUCCUCAACUAUAAUGGGCAUAGGGAUCACUCUGAAGGGAAAAAAAAAGGCCCUCGUGGAUGUUGAAAGCAUCUUUUUCAUUAAAGUCAAUGCCAAAGUUCUCCAAGGCAAGCCAAAGCAGCAACUGAGGUAUAUGAUUAUGCAACAUCCUCAACAUGGAGACAGACAUUUUUAAAUUAACUCUGACUUCCUGGCCUAAUUCCCUCUCUUCUGGUAUCCAUACUGGUAAUUUGAAGCCUUGUAAUGUAACACUUUGUAGAGCUAGACUUUAAAGGGAGGGGACUCCUCUAGUUAGUGGUCUUUGCUUUAGCCAGAGAGUCAAAUAUGGCACAUGCUAGGAUUAGGAAUACUGAGCUUUCUCUGAUGUCUACAUUAUCAGCAAAAUUAAGGGUCAUGGUACAACCAUAGUUCCUGUCUUUUUAAACACCAUCUGAAAGAAGUUAGCCUUUACUAAUAAGUUGUAAAUCUGCCUAAAAUUGUCAUUUCCCAAGGGUACUCUGGCAAAUAAAUAUAUCUUAUCAAAAUAGUAAAUCUUUCACUGAGUACAGGAAUACCUUAUUAUAUUGCACUUCACUUUAUUGCACUUCACAAAUAUUAGGGACUUUUUCCAAAUUGAAGGUUUGUGGCAACCUUACAUCAAGUAAGUCUAUCAUUGCCAUUUUUACAACAGCACAUGCUCAAUUACUGUCUGUGUCAUAUUUUGGUAAUUUUCAAUAUUUCAUACAUUUUCAUUGUUUUUAUAUCUGUUAUAGUGACUAGUGAUCUUUGAUGUUGGUAUUGUAAUUGUUUUAAGGCCCCACAAACUGCACCUAUAUAACAUGGCAAAUUUAAUAAAUGAUAUAUAUCUUCUGACCAUUCCACCAACU